ACGAACGCUGGCGGCGCGCUUAACACAUGCAAGUCGAGCUGUAAGGCCUUUGGGGGUACACGAGCGGCGAACGGGUGGGUAACACGUGGGUGAUCUGCCCUGCACUUCGGAAAAAGCUUGGGAAACUGGGCCUAUUACCGGUUAUGUCCUCCUAUCUCAUGAUGGGUGGAGGAAAAGUUUAUUGGUUCGGGAUGGGCCCGCGCCCUACCAGCUUGUUGGUGGGGUAAUGGCCUACCAAGGCGACGACGGAUAGCCGACCUGAGAGGGUGACCGGCCACACUGGGACUGAGACACGGCCCAGCCUCCUCCGGGCGGCAGCAGUGGGAAAUAGUGCAAAAUGGGCGCAAGCCUCAUGCAGCGACGCCGCGAGAGGGAUGACGGCCUUCGGGUUGUAGACCUCUUUCAGCCGGGACGAAGCGCAAGUGACGGUACCUGCAGAAGAAGCACCGGCUAACUACGUG
rnacentral:rRNA from 1 species